CCGCCGCCUGUAGCACUUCAACAGGCUGGCAGCGGCUGUAUGGUGUGUGGUUAUGUUUAGGUCUGGCCGUGGUGUUGACAAUACCACCCUCCGAAUGCGAUGGGAAUGCUGAAGGAAUGGCUUUAAAACGAUUUGUUCUCACGUUACUGGCCCUGUCUGGGUUAGCCAUCGGCGACGCGCUGCGGUGUAACUGCACCAACUGUGUGAAGUCUGGUUACGAGUGUGAGACUGACGGGGCCUGCAUGGCAUCCACCUCCUUCAUCCAGGGGCAUGAGCAGCAUGUAAGGAUCUGUAUCGCCAGAGACAGCCUUGUGCCCCCUGGCCAACCUUUCUACUGUCUCAGUGCUGAGGGACUGCUCAACACACACUGCUGCUACACUGACUACUGCAACCGCGUCGACCUCAAGGUUCCCUCGCUCCCGGUGAAACCGGGGGGAGCUGGGCUGGGUGGGCUCUGGAGGCCCAUGGGGGCCAGUGGAGCUGGUGGCUGUGAUCGCAGGGCCGGUCUUCCUGCUGUGCAUGCUGCUGCUGGUGGGAUUAUUCCUCUUCCAGCAUCACCAGAGGACCUACAGACAGCGGCUGGAGGUGGAGGACCCCUCCUGUGAACACCUCUACCUGGCCAAGGACAAGACCCUGCAGGAUCUCAUCUAUGACAUGUCCACCUCCGGGUCUGGUUCUGGCUUGCCCCUGUUUGUGCAGCGUACGGUGGCCAGGACCAUCGUUCUGCAGGACAUCAUAGGGAAGGGCCGCUUCGGGGAGGUGUGGCGGGGGAAGUGGCGCGGAGGAGACGUGGCGGUGAAGAUCUUCUCGUCCAGAGAGGAGCGCUCGUGGUUCAGAGAGGCUGAGAUCUACCAGACCAUCAUGCUGCGACACGAGAACAUCCUGGGAUUCAUCGCUGCCGACAAUAAAGAUAACGGCACAUGGACCCAGUUGUGGCUGGUCUCAGACUACCACGAGUACGGUUCUCUGUUUGACUACCUGAACUACUAUUCUGUGACUAUAGAGGGCAUGAUCAAACUGGCCCUGUCUGCCGCCAGCGGCCUGGCUCACCUGCAUAUGGAGAUACUGGGCACGCAGGGUAAGCCUGGUAUCGCCCACCGUGAUCUGAAGUCUAAGAACAUUUUGGUGAAGAAGAAUGGCAUGUGUGCCAUCGCUGACCUGGGGCUGGCAGUACGCCACGAGUCCAUCACUGAUACUAUAGACAUCGCCCCUAACCAGCGUGUUGGCACCAAGAGGUAUAUGGCUCCAGAGGUCCUGGAAGAGACCAUCAACAUGAAACACUUUGACUCGUUUAAGUGUGCUGAUAUCUACGCCCUGGGGCUGGUGUACUGGGAGAUAGCGCGUCGCUGCAACACUGGAAGUAUCCACGAGGAUUACCAGCUGCCCUACUUUGACCUGGUGCCCUCUGACCCCUCCAUAGAUGAGAUGAGAAAGGUGGUGUGUGACCAGAGGCUGAGGCCUAACGUGCCCAACUGGUGGCAGAGCUACGAGUCUCUGCGUGUGAUGGGUAAGAUCAUGAGGGAGUGCUGGUACUCUAACGGAGCGGCCCGCCUCACGGCUCUACGCAUCAAGAAGACUCUCUCUCAGCUCAGUGUUGAGGAGGACAUCAAGAUGUAAGAUAAGAGUGGGACGGACAGUCGGCAGAGCCACGUAGCUCGCUGGAGACGCACAACGAUGGACACAGGCUGUUUAUCAAAUGGCGCCCUAUUCCCUAUCUAGUGCACUACUUUUUGACCAGGGCUCAUGGAAAAUAACACGGAAAGGACUGAGACUAAAUCCUGCCAGUUUUAAAGCCACACUCAAGUUGUGACAAGGCCUACCACACCUUAUUAGCCAUAACUACUGAGAAUCUCUCCUCUGCCGCUCCUCUUCUUUCUCCCUCCUUUACCUGGUUAUCCCAACCUCCUCUCCUUCACACACUCUUAUGGGCCACCACACUACAUGAUACUACCAUUAUUAUCCCCACCAACCUCCCUGUUCAGUUUUACUUUGUGCUCCGAGGCAGUAAAUAUGACUAUUGUACAGUGACAGGAAUUUAGUUUGUAAUAUUUUGUACAUCUUUUUAUUUUUUUGCCACGACUAGCUACGUCCUGAAAACUCAUAUUCAUAAUGUGGUUUCAUGUCCACAUUUUUAAGUUUAAAAAAAAAUGCUUUUGGGAGAAUGUGGGAGUAGCAGAUGACUCUCUUGUCGUCACUCAACUAUCUGUACAGGAUGAAAUCAACCAUAUUAGGCAGGAAAGUCACUUCUAUGGACAUGUCACAAUAUACACUGAACAAAAAUAUAAAUGCAACAUGUAAAAUGUUGGACCCAUAUUUCUUAGGCUGAAAUAAAAGAUCCCAGAAAUGAUCCAUACUAAUUUGUCUACAUACCUGUUAGUGAGCAUUUUUCCUUUGCCAAGAUAAUCCAUCCACUUGACAGAUGUGGCAUAUCAAGAAGCUGAUUAAACAGCAUGAUAAUUACACAGGUGCACCUUGUGAAAGGCCACUAAAACGUGCAGUUUUGUCACAACACAAUGCCACUGAUGUCUCAAGUUUUGAAGGAGUGUGCAAUUGACAUGCUGACUGCAGGAAUGUCCACCUGAGCUGUUGCAAGUGAAUUGAUGUUCUCUACCAUCUCCCAUGUUUUUAGAGAAUUUGGCAGUAGGUCCAACUGGCAUCACAAUCACAGACCACAUGUCAACACGCCAGCCCAGGCCCGUUACACUCACCUGUGGGAGUGUCUGAGAUUAGCCACCCGGACAGCUGAUAACUGGGUUUGCACAACCUGAAUUUCUGCGCAAAUGGUCUGGCAAACUCAUCUGUGUGCUUGUCGUCGCCGGGGUCUUGACCUCAAUACAGUUCGACAUCGUAACCGACUUCACGCCCGAAAAGUGUUAUUUUCGCAGAUCAAUCCCGUUUUCAUCUGUACUGGGCAGAUGUCUCUGUGUACGGCGUCAUGUGGGCGAGCGGUUUGCUGAUGUCAACGUUGUGAACUGAGAACCCCAUGGUGGGGAUAUGGUAUGGGCAAGCAUAAGCUAGGCACAACGAACACAAUUGCAUUUUAUUUAUGUCAAUUUGAAUGCACAGACAUACCGUGAUGAGAUCCUGAGGCCCAUUGUCGUGCCAUUCAUCCACCACCAUCCCGUUUCAGCACGGUAAUGAUCAGCCCCAUGUCGGAAGGAUCUGUACACUGCGGAAAAUGUCCCAGUUCUUCCAUGGCCUACAUACUCACCGGACAUGUCACCCAUUGAACAUGUUUGGAUGCUCGACGUGUACAACAGCGUGUUCCUGUUCCCGCCAAUACCCAGCCAUUGGAGGAGUGGGACUACGAUCAACAGCCUGAUCAACUCUGUGAAGAAGCACUAAUUGUGUGCCUCACUGACUGAUUUUCUGAUCCACUCCCCUACUUAAACCAUUUUUAAGGUAUCUGUGAACAACAGAUGCAUAUCUGUAUUCCCAGUCAUGUGGAAUCCAUAGAUUAGGGCCCAAUGAAUCUAUUUCAAUUGACUUAUGUCCUUAUAUGGACAAACUCAGUAAAAUUGUUGCAUGUUUUAUAUUUUUCUUCAGUGUACAUCAGCAGAGUAGACUUACAGCCGUUCCUGUACAGCUUUCAGAAGCCUGGAAUACCUUGUAGUUGAUUGGACAACAUUUCACAUUUAGUCAUUUAAGACUUGUCAAGCAUUAAAACAGAUGGGUUGCAUUCUGCUACUUGAAUAUCCCACGUCGCUCAUGCCUGCUUGUAUGUGACUCCUACACGUAUCACAUUUUGAGAUUUGGUCCAGUUUUAUGUUUUGAAAUGUGGCCGGGAUGUUUUUUUUGGAAAGGUAUUAUUAGAUAUUUUUGAUGACUAGAGAUUUGAUGUGAUUUAAGAAGCCAGUCAAAGAUGUAGCCUAUUUUUAAUUCAGUCCAACAUGUAGGUAGGGGUAAGGAGCCUUUUGGAAUUAGACUUAAGCGCUCCAGUACUGCCAACCGUGCGGUAGCAGAGAACAGUAUGACUAGGGUGACUGGUAUCUAUAAGAGGCAUAAACGAUGGUAAUGAGAACUGGUUUACUAUAGACACUACUGAUGAAGACAUUGAUUUGUAUACAAAACAGGCAUCUCUGUACUGUGGUGAUUUUUCUUCAGUGACAUCUUCAAUGGUACUUUCAGCUGGUUUCUUGGAGAUGCAGAAGUCAGAGAGCUCAGGAAAAAAUGUUUUAUUCUUGGCUUUUCUUGGAUUGUAGGUAUCGAUUUUCCCUUUUACACUGGGCUAGUUGAUAUUGUGAUGUAACUAUGAGCUCAUCUCACCAUUUUGUGUAUUUAUUUUUGAUUGAACAGGGCAAGAAGAAUAGGCUUUAUCUGUUAACACUGGAACUGGGCUCUCUGAAAAAGGAUCCAAUGUGUUCUGAUGGUAUGCAGAACAAGGGGGCUGUCUCAACACUGGGACCUCUGUCUUUACUGAGGUAAAAUAUAUAGAAUGCAGAGGGGGAAAAAUAUUUUUUUCAUUUGGAUUUGGGGCAUGUAUACCCCAGUAAAUGUAUGUUGCUGCUACUGUAACAUUGGCAAGGAUAUGACAGAUGGAGUAUUUGGGGGUCAAUCUAUCCUGGUAUUUCAUGAGGGCUUUGAGGAAGAGAUGGUUGUCAUGAGAACCAAAUGUCAAAUAUUCCUAUCAUUGUUUUAGCAUGGGAUUUUUUUGUUAUACCAUCAACUGUCCUAUUCAUACUGUACACCUAUUUCAAACACCAUGUUAAAUUACACUUUUUUCAGGACUAGUUAUAAAAUGUGUACAUAUGGUAGGUGAUAUACAUUAAAAUACAAGUUUUGUA